rnacentral:rRNA from 1 species
UGGGGAAUAUUGCACAAUGGGCGCAAGCCUGAUGCAGCAACGCCGCGUGAGGGACGACGGCCUUCGGGUUGUAAACCUCUUUUAGUAGGGAAGAAGCGAAAGUGACGGUACCUGCAGAAAAAGCACCGGCUAACUACGUGCCAGCAGCCGCGGUAAUACGUAGGGUGCGAGCGUUGUCCGGAAUUAUUGGGCGUAAAGAGCUCGCAGGCGGUCUGUCGCGUCUGCUGUGAAAACCCGAGGCUCAACCUCGGGCCUGCAGUGGGUACGGGCAGACUAGAGUGCGGUAGGGAGAAUGGAAUUCCUGGUGUAGCGGUGGAAUGCGCAGAUAUCAGGAGGAACACCGAUGGCGAAGGCAGUUCUCUGGGCCGUAACUGACGCUGAGGAGCGAAAGCGUGGGGAGCGAACAGGAUUAGAUACCCUGGUAGUCCACGCCGUAAACGUUGGGCGCUAGAUGUGGGGACCAUUCCACGGUUUCCGUGUCGCAGCUAACGCAUUAAGCGCCCCGCCUGGGGAGUACGGCCGCAAGGCUAAAACUU